GUGGCUGUAGCUCAGUUGGUAGAGUGCAGGAUUGUGGCUCCUGUUGUCGUGGGUUCGAUUCCCAUCAGCCACCCCA
rnacentral:tRNA from 1 species